AGCCAUCCUGCGGCAGCAGAGGAGAGAGGACUCUCCUGCAUCUUCAUAUCUGUCACAGCCAUCUUCGCUGUCCCCGCCCAGAUCAACACUCAGAGAGCGCAGCUCACCUCGAGGCUGGGAACCCCUUGGACAGACAUCUCUUGCUCUUCCCUGCUUCCCUCCCUUCCGGUUCCUCAUCCUGUGCUCCCAACAUGUGUUUGGAAUGCCAUGGGCCUGGGAGGAGCCUUUUAUUAGGAAGCUCCUCAAGAAGCUCACAGGCUCCCUGAGGCCAGGGAACCGGGACACCACCAGAGCGAUUCUGAGGAGGGGCAAGGCAGCAGAGGGCCAAAGCAGACAGCAGAAGCGCAGUGUGGCAACCAAAGAACUUGUCCGUGGCUAAGGGAGGCGAACUUCACGCCUGAAGUGCUGACAAAUGGACGGCGAGGAAAGCACCAAGGAAGUGGGGGCCCCUGAGGCCCAGUCAGGUGAAGAUCAGCUCUACCCAAGAAUCAGAACAGGAGGGACUACCGGACAGACAGGGCGGAGACCCUGACCGAGCCCACGCUGGUUGACUGUGUACACCUAAACUCACCAUUAAAUUAGCUGUGAGCUAACAUCUGCUGCCAUUCCUCCUCUUUUUACUGAGGAAGACUGGCCCUGCCUGAGCUAACAUCCACGCUUAUCUUCCUCUACUUUAUAUGCCCACGCCUGCCCACGACAUGGCUUGACAAGCAGUGUGUAGGUCCGCAUCUGGGAUCCGAACCAGCAAACCCUGCGCUGCC
rnacentral:lncRNA from 1 species